rnacentral:rRNA from 1 species
AACGUACCUUUUGGUUCGGAACAACACAGGGAAACUUGUGCUAAUACCGGAUAAGCCCUUACGGGGAAAGAUUUAUCGCCGAAAGAUCGGCCCGCGUCUGAUUAGCUAGUUGGUGAGGUAACGGCUCACCAAGGCGACGAUCAGUAGCUGGUCUGAGAGGAUGAUCAGCCACAUUGGGACUGAGACACGGCCCAAACUCCUACGGGAGGCAGCAGUGGGGAAUAUUGGACAAUGGGCGCAAGCCUGAUCCAGCCAUGCCGCGUGAGUGAUGAAGGCCCUAGGGUUGUAAAGCUCUUUUGUGCGGGAAGAUAAUGACGGUACCGCAAGAAUAAGCCCCGGCUAACUUCGUGCCAGCAGCCGCGGUAAUACGAAGGGGGCUAGCGUUGCUCGGAAUCACUGGGCGUAAAGGGUGCGUAGGCGGGUCUUUAAGUCAGGGGUGAAAUCCUGGAGCUCAACUCCAGAACUGCCUUUGAUACUGAGGAUCUUGAGUUCGGGAGAGGUGAGUGGAACUGCGAGUGUAGAGGUGAAAUUCGUAGAUAUUCGCAAGAACACCAGUGGCGAAGGCGGCUCACUGGCCCGAUACUGACGC